rnacentral:rRNA from 1 species
GGGUGCGAUCAUACCAGCACUAAUGCACCGGAUCCCAUCAGAACUCCGCAGUUAAGUGUGCUUGGGCGAGAGUAGUACUAGGAUGGGUGACCUCCUGGGAAGUCCUCGUGUUGCACCCC